rnacentral:rRNA from 1 species
UACGGAGGGUGCAAGCGUUAUCCGGAUUCACUGGGUUUAAAGGGUGCGUAGGUGGGUUGGUAAGUCAGUGGUGAAAUCUCCAGGCUUAACUUGGAAACUGCCAUUGAUACUAUCAAUCUUGAAUACCGUGGAGGUCAGCGGAAUAUGUCAUGUAGCGGUGAAAUGCUUAGAUAUGACAUAGAACACCAAUUGCGAAGGCAGCUGGCUAGACGAAUAUUGACACUGAUGCACGAAAGCGUGGGGAUCAAACAGG